GUGAUAGUCCCCUUCAGAGCACAGUCUGAACAGUCUGAACAGGAAGGAGGACUUCAGAAGCAUGGUAGCCACAGAAACGUGAGCCUCACCUCUUCAGUGCUGCCCCCAGAAAUCCACCACCACUGCACGUGCUUCCCAGUGCACCAUGGACAGCACCGCUAAGCUCCCAGUGCAGGACUGUUCCUGGGAGACACGGGGCCCUCCGAGUGUGCAUCUGACAGCCUGGCUGAGCGCACCUAGAAAUGCAGUGCAGUCUCAGAUGUACCCCACCUUCGCUUCCCCCCUCCCCUGUGCCCUGACUGUGUCAAUGUCCUCCAGUGCUCCCAGCUCCCUCCCGCCCUCCCCAUCUUCCCUCACAGGCCUAGUCCCUAAUGAAUCUCUUACCUAGCUGUUUCCAUCUAGAUGUCUGCUUCUCAGAGGAUGCCGGUAAACACAGGAGGCCAUGAGCUCACCCCGGGGGGUUCCGUUGCUUUGAGCAUCUUUGGAGCAGCCCUCAUGCAGCAUGGGGCUCUGGGCUGCCUGUCUCUGUGGUUCCUGGUGAUUUGGGAGCUCGGGAGCCACGGGUCACUCCUUAGCAUCAUGCGCACAGGUCACAAAGUAGAGUCCAACUCUCCCAGCCUUCUCAGGCCUCCAGUGUAGUGGGAAGCUCUGAAAGUCAGGGCAGCCUGGCUUCACAUCAAGGCCUUUAUGGAGGGAGGCAAGUUAAUGAGCAGCCUCCCUGCCACCUGCCAGUCCCGACUCAGUGCCGCCCAUCCCUGUGCUGCUGUGCCUGCUCAGAGCCAUCUGGCUCCCUGGGAUUUGAGUCUGCUGUUUCUCCUCUCUCUCUCUGCAGGGGUGCUGAUGGUCUGUAUAGUGAUUGGUGCUCGAAAGCUCGGGGUCAACCCAGACAACAUUGCCACACCCAUUGCAGCCAGCCUGGGAGACCUCAUCACAUUGUCCAUUCUGGCUUUGGUUAGCAGCUUCUUCUACAGACACAAAGAUAGUCGGUAUCUGAUGCCGCUGGUCUGCCUCAGCUUUGCAGCUCUGACCCCAGUGUGGGUCCUCAUUGCCAAGCAGAGCCCACCCAUCGUGAAGAUCCUGAAGUUUGGCUGGUUCCCAAUCAUCCUGGCCAUGGUCAUCAGCAGUUUUGGAGGACUCAUCUUGAGCAAAACCAUUUCUAAACAGCAGUACAAAGGCAUGGCGAUAUUUACCCCCGUCAUAUGUGGUGUUGGUGGCAAUCUGGUGGCCAUUCAGACCAGCCGAAUCUCAACCUACCUGCACAUGUGGAGUGCACCUGGUGUCCUGCCCCUCCAGAUGAAGAAAUUCUGGCCCAACCCAUGUUCUACUUUCUGCACGUCAGAAAUCAAUUCCAUGUCAGCUCGAGUCCUGCUCUUGCUGGUGGUCCCAGGCCAUCUGAUUUUCUUCUACAUCAUCUACCUGGUGGAGGGUCAGUCAGUCAUAAGCAGCCAGACCUUUGUGGUGCUCUACCUGCUGGCAGGCCUGAUCCAGGUGACAAUCCUGCUGUACCUGGCAGAAGUGUUGGUUCGGCUGACUUGGCACCAGGCCCUGGAUCCUGACAACCACUGCAUCCCCUACCUUACAGGGCUGGGGGACCUGCUCGGUACUGGCCUCCUGGCACUCUGCUUUUUCACUGACUGGCUACUGAAGAGCAAAGCAGAGCUGGGUGGCAUCUCAGAACUGGCAUCUGGACCUCCCUAACUGGGGCCCGCUGGUCCCAUUUGCUCAUUAGAAUUUCCUCUCACAUCAGUGGGGUACAGAAUUCAGUUUCUCCCUUGCCAGGUCCUUGGGAUGGUUGACCCCUGCCUUUGCAGUAGCCUUUUGAGUCUGCUAAGGUAGCUCUCACACACCUCGGCUCUGGGGUUGAUACCUGAGCCCGCAAUAGAACCCUGAAAUCAAGAGCAUGGCUUGAGUGUGUGAAUAUGAUGUGUGCACAUGCUUAAUGAGCAUGUGAGUGUGCACACGUUUGUGGAGAGGAGGGUGUUCUGGCCUGAGAAGCUAAAGAAGAGGCAUGUCCAGUAAGCUUUGCAGGGUGUUUGCUCUUUUCCAUGCCCAUGCAACCCAGAUUGGGGUGGAGCAGGAAGGAGCUCUUUUCUGUUCCCAAGACUCAGGACUCUUGAGCUGUGGCUUACUUGCUGUCUUCACCAGGUUCAAGCUCCGUGGGCCACACUGCUGCUGUGCCAAGAAGGUGUACAGCCUCCCCAGGAUGGGGCCUUGUACAACCCUUCAUCUGCACUCAACAUUUAAUCGUGUCCUUGCUGUCUUUUUAUUUUCCUUUUUGUUUGUUAGCAAAAACCUCUGUUUAGAUUUCAAUAAUCAGAGAAGUGUAAAAUAAAACAGAUUACAUUGU
rnacentral:sRNA from 1 species